GUGAACGCUGGCGGCAGGCCUAACACAUGCAAGUCGAACGGCAGCACAAGAGAGCUUGCUCUCUGGGUGGCGAGUGGCGGACGGGUGAGGAAUGCAUCGGAAUCUGCCCAUUUGUGGGGGAUAACCUCGGGAAACCGGGACUAAUACCGCAUACGACCUACGGGUGAAAGCAGGGGAUCUUCGGACCUUGCGCAGAUGGAUGAGCCGAUGCCGGAUUAGCUAGUUGGAGGGGUAAAGGCCCACCAAGGCGACGAUCCGUAGCUGGUCUGAGAGGAUGAUCAGCCACACUGGGACUGAGACACGGCCCAGACUCCUACGGGAGGCAGCAGUGGGGAAUAUUGGACAAUGGGCGCAAGCCUGAUCCAGCCAUGCCGCGUGUGUGAAGAAGGCCUUCGGGUUGUAAAGCACUCUUGUUGGGAAAGAAAAGCAGCCGGUUAAUACCCGGUUGUCAUGACGGUACCCAAAGAAUAAGCACCGGCUAACUUCGUG
rnacentral:rRNA from 1 species